rnacentral:rRNA from 1 species
UCGUUGUAGCAAUACGAUGGAAAAUUUAGUGGCGAACGGGUGCUUAACACGUGGGCAACCUGCCAGGAAGUGGGGGAUAGCUCGCCGAAAGGCGAAUUAAUACCGCAUGUGAUUAGAGAGGACAUCCUUUCGAAAUUAAAGUCGGGGCAACCUGACGCUUUUUGUGGGGCCCGCGGCCUAUCAGCUAGUUGGUGAGGUAACGGCUCACCAAGGCGUUGACGGGUAGCUGGUCUGAGAGGACGACCAGCCACACUGGGACUGAGACACGGCCCAGACACCUACGGGUGGCAGCAGUCGAGAAUUUUUGACAAUGGGGGAAACCCUGAUCGAGCGACGCCGCGUGGAGGAUGAAGGUCUUCGGAUUGUAAACUCCUGUCAUUGGGGAACAAUGCGCAAAUAUUAACUGUAUUUGUGUUGAUAGUACCCGAAGAGGAAGAGACGGCUAACUCUGUGCCAGCAGCCGCGGUAAUACAGAGGUCUCAAGCGUUGUUCGGAUUCAUUGGGCGUAAAGGGUGCGUAGGCGGCGCGGUAAGUCGGGUGUGAAAUCUCGGAGCUUAACUCCGAAACUGCAUUCGAUACUGCCGUGCUUGAGGACUGGAGAGGAGACUGGAAUUCACGGUGUAGCA